UGGGGAAUAUUGCACAAUGGGCGCAAGCCUGAUGCAGCCAUGCCGCGUGUGUGAAGAAGGCCUUCGGGUUGUAAAGCACUUUCAGCGAGGAGGAAGGUGGUGGACUUAAUACGUUCAUCAAUUGACGUUACUCGCAGAAGAAGCACCGGCUAACUCCGUGCCAGCAGCCGCGGUAAUACGGAGGGUGCAAGCGUUAAUCGGAAUUACUGGGCGUAAAGCGCACGCAGGCGGUUUGUUAAGUCAGAUGUGAAAUCCCCGGGCUCAACCUGGGAACUGCAUUUGAAACUGGCAAGCUAGAGUCUCGUAGAGGGGGGUAGAAUUCCAGGUGUAGCGGUGAAAUGCGUAGAGAUCUGGAGGAAUACCGGUGGCGAAGGCGGCCCCCUGGACGAAGACUGACGCUCAGGUGCGAAAGCGU
rnacentral:rRNA from 1 species